rnacentral:rRNA from 1 species
UACGUAGGGGGCAAGCGUUGUCCGGAAUCAUUGGGCGUAAAGCGCGUGUAGGCGGCUCGGGUAGUCUGGUGUGAAAUCUUUCGGCUCAACCGGAAGCGGUCACUGGAUACUCUCGGCUUGAGUCCGGAAGAGGAGAGUGGAAUUCCUGGUGUAGCGGUGGAAUGCGCAGAUAUCAGGAGGAACACCAAUGGCGAAGGCAGCUCUCUGGUACGUGACUGACGCUGAGACGCGAAAGCGUGGGGAGCGAACAGG